AUGGAACGGGGGAUGAAGAAAAAGAAGGAGAGGGAAGUGUAAUGAGAUGAGCAGAAGGAAGAGACGGUGUGUACAGUAGGAGGAAGUAUAGCACAGUAGUUUGUUUCAUACAGGCCUCUACUAUCGGCUGUGAUAUUCCCCAGAGAUGAUAGGUCAGUUUUAUAUAAGCCUCUACUAUCGGCUGUGAUAUUCCCCAGAGAUGAUAGGUCAGUUUUAUAUAAGCCUCUACUAUCGGCUGUGAUAUUCCCCAGAGAUGAUAGGUCAGUUUUAUAUAAGCCUCUACUAUCGGCUGUGAUAUUCCCCAGAGAUGAUAGGUCAGUUUUAUAUAAGCCUCUACUAUCGGCUGUGAUAUUCCCCAGAGAUGAUAGGUCAGUUUUAUAUAAGCCUCUACUAUCGGCUGUGAUAUUCCCCAGAGAUGAUAGGUCAGUUUUAUAUAAGCCUCUACUAUCGGCUGUGAUCUUCCCCAGAGAUGAUAGGUCAGUUGUAUACAGGCCUCUACUAUCGGCUGUGAUAUUCCCCAGAGAUGAUAGGUCAGUUUUAUAUAAGCCUCUACUAUCGGCUGUGAUAUUCCCCAGAGAUGAUAGGUCAGUUUUAUAUAAGCCUCUACUAUCGGCUGUGAUAUUCCCCAGAGAUGAUAGGUCAGUUUUAUAUAAGCCUCUACUAUCGGCUGUGAUAUUCCCCAGAGAUGAUAGGUCAGUUUUAUAUAAGCCUCUACUAUCGGCUGUGAUAUUCCCCAGAGAUGAUAGGUCAGUUUUAUAUAAGCCUCUACUAUCGGCUGUGAUAUUCCCCAGAGAUGAUAGGUCAGUUUUAUAUAAGCCUCUACUAUCGGCUGUGAUAUUCCCCAGAGAUGAUAGGUCAGUUUUAUAUAAGCCUCUACUAUCGGCUGUGAUAUUCCCCAGAGAUGAUAGGUCAGUUUCAUACAGGCCUCUACUAUCGGCUGUG